rnacentral:tRNA from 1 species
GAAGGUAUAGCUCAGUGGUAGAGUGCAUUCUUAGCAUGCAAGAAGUCCUGGUUCAAUCCCUAGUACCUCCA